CAUUUGACCCCGCGCAAGGCGGGAUUCUCUGUAUAGGUGUUGGGAUGAUGUUGAUAGGUUUUUAUGCUUAGGUGAGUUUGGUUGGGCUGUGUUUGUGUGUGUGCAGUGCAUGUGUAUGUUACUUUUAUGAAUGUUCUAAGAGUUUACAAUUCCAUCAAUUUUUUCUUUGGCUUACUUAAUCUUGCUUUUCUUUCACCAGGCAAGUAUGCCCUAUGGACUGGAUGCAUUAAUUUGUUGAGAUGGACUUUCUUUGGAAUGUAAUGAAUAUGUUUGUGAUUUUGUUAGUCUAAUUGACUAAAUAUGUGCUGUUAAAUGGCUUUCUAACACAAGCAUAAUAUGAUUUUUUUUACUAUCACGAAAGUGGAUGAUUGAACAUUGGUUACUUAACCCAUACUAGUGGCGAAGUGCUUAAUUUCAAGUGAACACUGUCUAUGUUUUGCACUCUUGAUGGCUUAGGGUCAAUCGUUGGUGCAAAUGACUAGCUUAUGUGUAUCAAUCAGAUUGCAGUUUAUCUGUGAAUAUUGUUGGAGUUGGAAGAAACUUGAUGUUUGGCGACCAUGCGUUCUUGUUGUGGCUUGUAGGUAUCAUUGUAAAAGCGUUGUCUGCAGGGUGAAAGCAACAUCACUCUCUUUGAUCAUGUUUGGAUGAGCCCUUGAAUUUGAAGAACUAAGAACUGUACAAAAAGCCAUCUGUUGAACUGGUGUUAUUUUCAUUCCUGACCAAGUUCAUCGUCUGUUGUGGUCGUAGCGUACCUGAAAGCAACCCCAUUCAGAAAGGGCUGACUGAAGCUUUGCGAGUUCCUGUGUCGAGGAAGAGAGGAGUGAAAAAUCAAUGAGCAGAUUAUCCCUCCACAAUUCAGGGGCAUCAAUGGCUUCAGGGAAACCAUCUUUGUGGAGAUUGUAUAAGCAUACUGAAAGCAACCCCAUUGAGGGAGAGCUGAUCGGAUUUUUUCGAGUUCCAGUGUUGAGUUUGAAGAGAGAAGAGAUAGAUCAAUAAGCAAACCAUCCCUCUACAAAUCAGGGGCAUCAAUGGCUUCAGGGAAACCAUCUUUGUGGAGGAUGGAGAGAGUACACUUGGCUUGGGAAGUAUUUGGAGAGGACGCAUACAAUCACAAGCUAUGUUACACAUACUCUUCAUUUC